rnacentral:rRNA from 1 species
CACGUAGGCACCAAGCGUUGUCCGGAUUUAUUGGGCGUAAAGAGCUCGUAGGUGGUUCGAUAAGUCGGGUGUGAAACCUCCAGGCUCAACCUGGAGACGCCACCCGAUACUGUCGUGACUAGAGUCCAGUAGGGGAGCGUGGAAUUCCUGGUGUAGCGGUGAAAUGCGCAGAUAUCAGGAGGAACACCAGCGGCGAAGGCGGCGCUCUGGGCUGGCACUGACACUGAGGAGCGAAAGCGUGGGGAGCGAACAGG